AUUGAACGCUGGCUGCAGGCCUAACACAUGCAAGUCGAACGAGUGGCGGACGGUUGAGUAAUGUCUGGGAAACUGCCUGAUGGAGGGGGAUCACUACUGGAAACGGUAGCUAAUACCGCAUACCAUCAGCUUUUCCCAGAUGGGAUGAGCUAGUUGGUGGGGUAACGGAUCACCAAGGCGACGAUCCAUCGCUGGUCUGAGAGGAUGACCAGCAAAACUGGAACUGAGACACGGUCCAGACGCCUACGUGAGGCAGCAGUGGGGAAUAUUGCACAAGGGGCGCAAGCCUGAUGCAGCCAUGCCGCGUGGAUGAAGAAGGCCUGCGGGUUGUAAAGUACUUUCAGCGGGGAGGCGUUACCCGAAGAAUAAGCACCGGCUAACUCCGUGCCAGCAGCCGCGGUAAUUC
rnacentral:rRNA from 1 species